GAACGCUGGCGGCGUGCCUAAUACAUGCAAGUCGAGCGAACAGACGAGGAGCUUGCUCCUCUGACGUUAGCGGCGGACGGGUGAGUAACACGUGGAUAACCUACCUAUAAGACUGGGAUAACUUCGGGAAACCGGAGCUAAUACCGGAUAAUAUAUUGAACCGCAUGGUUCAAUAGUGAAAGACGGUUUUGCUGUCACUUAUAGAUGGAUCCGCGCCGCAUUAGCUAGUUGGUAAGGUAACGGCUUACCAAGGCGACGAUGCGUAGCCGACCUGAGAGGGUGAUCGGCCACACUGGAACUGGGACACGGUCCAGACUCCUACGGGAGGCAGCAGUAGGGAAUCUUCCGCAAUGGGCGAAAGCCUGACGGAGCGACGCCGCGUGAGUGAUGAAGGUCUUCGGAUCGUAAAACUCUGUUAUUAGGGAAGAACAAAUGUGUAAGUAACUAUGCACGUCUUGACGGUACCUAAUCAGAAAGCCACGGCUAACUACGUG
rnacentral:rRNA from 1 species